rnacentral:rRNA from 1 species
GUCCACGCCCUAAACGAUGUCAACUGGGUGUUGGGGGAGCGAUUCCUCAGUACCGUAGCUAACGCGUGAAGUUGACCGCCUGGGGGAGUACGGCCGCAAGGUUAAAACUCAAAGGAAUUGACGGGGACCCGCACAAGCGGUGGAUGAUGUGGAUUAAUUCGAUGCAACGCGAACAACCUUACCUACCCUUGACAUGUCCGGAAGCUCGCUGAGAGGUGAGUGUGCCCGAAAGGGAAUCGGAACACAGGUGCUGCAUGGCUGUCGU